AAUAUAUUUAUAAUGUAUUGAUAACCCUUUGAACUUAAGCANAUCUUUAAAAGGAGGAAAAGAAACUNACUNGGAUUUCUUUAGUAGCAGCGAGUGAACAAGAAAUAACCCUCCAUUGUAAUCCUUAAUUGGAGUUGUNAAUGGUUUAUUCUNUUNAUUAUAUUUAUAGAGAAUAUUAUAUUCGUUAUUAAUAGAAUAGAAUAAUGUACUUGAGUAGAGCUGCUUGGUAGUGCAGUUUGAAUAAAGGNAGAANGAAAUAUCUAAGGUUAAAUAUAAUGGUAUACCGAUAGAAAAUAAGUACUGCGAAGGAACUUGUGAAAAUGNGANNAGNGAAGCC
rnacentral:rRNA from 1 species